rnacentral:rRNA from 1 species
AUGGGAGCUUGCUCCCUGAUGUUAGCGGCGGACGGGUGAGUAACACGUGGGUAACCUGCCUGUAAGACUGGGAUAACUCCGGGAAACCGGGGCUAAUACCGGAUGGUUGUUUGAACCGCAUGGUUCAAACAUAAAAGGUGGCUUCGGCUACCACUUACAGAUGGACCCGCGGCGCAUUAGCUAGUUGGUGAGGUAACGGCUCACCAAGGCAACGAUGCGUAGCCGACCUGAGAGGGUGAUCGGCCACACUGGGACUGAGACACGGCCCAGACUCCUACGGGAGGCAGCAGUAGGGAAUCUUCCGCAAUGGACGAAAGUCUGACGGAGCAACGCCGCGUGAGUGAUGAAGGUUUUCGGAUCGUAAAGCUCUGUUGUUAGGGAAGAACAAGUACCGUUCGAAUAGGGCGGUACCUUGACGGUACCUAACCAGAAAGCCACGGCUAACUACGUGCCAGCAGCCGCGGUAAUACGUAGGUGGCAAGCGUUGUCCGGAAUUAUUGGGCGUAAAGGGCUCGCAGGCGGUUUCUUAAGUCUGAUGUGAAAGCCCCCGGCUCAACCGGGGAGGGUCAUUGGAAACUGGGGAACUUGAGUGCAGAAGAGGAGAGUGGAAUUCCACGUGUAGCGGUGAAAUGCGUAGAGAUGUGGAGGAACACCAGUGGCGAAGGCGACUCUCUGGUCUGUAACUGACGCUGAGGAGCGAAAGCGUGGGGAGCGAACAGGAUUAGAUACCCUGGUAGUCCACGCCGUAAACGAUGAGUGCUAAGUGUUAAGGGGGUUUCCGCCCCUUAGUGCUGCAGCU